GUACUCACGUAAAUCAACAACGAAAGUUGUUGUGAGGCACCGGUACAAGCAUUAGCCAUUGCAUUUCGGCUGAGUUGACCUUUACGAUUAUUCCUAAUGGGAAUAACUCGUUGGUGUAUCUUUUGGUAGCCGGGAAUGGCUUUCGGGCCAUCCAAA